CCCUAUUGAGAUUCGCGCACAGUAUAUUAAAUCAUUUACCUAUUGUAAUAUCUAACAGACAGAAUCCGUACAAGACAGAAUCGGCAAUAUUUAUCAACCAAAAGAUAUUUGUUAUCUCAAAGAAACCAGCAUGCAGAAGACAUUCCUACUCACCACUGUUGUUCUGAUUCUCGCGUUCAUUUCUCUAGGGGGAACAUCUGAGCAAUCGGAGGAUGAAUACACGCUGGUCAAACGGCCAAUGCACAUGCUCCGGCUCGGGAGAAGGGACGCUGAAGAACCAGCUGAGGACAACGAGCAAUCUUUAAGCGAUCGACACGAGCAUGAAAAUGCAGGGAAUUAAUGACGUACCAAAAGAAGGUGUCGCCAAGGGUGGUGAUCCAAAAUGCUGAAAAUGAAUUUUAAUUUAUACCUUAUGUUUGUGAUCAUUGAAUAAAAUAAUAAUUUGUCAUUUUAAUCAAUUUACUGUUUAACGAUACACAUUAAUGAUAAUAAUUAGUCAAUUAAAACAUUCUCUUGCACAGAAAAUCUUCAAAAAAGGAAAUUAAAAUUAUAAAAAACUU